AUGGCAGCUUCUGCUGCAGGACUCAGCUAAACUUCACUCCCUAAUUAAACAAACAAACACGAUGGAUUCAGCACAUGGCUUAAUCUCGAAACUAAUCAGAUGCAAUCCCAUAUGUCCCAACCCUUUUUACUUUCUUGUGUAUUCUGUCACCAUUUCAUGGAUCCACUGCACCCACUGCAAUUGAUGCAAUGCAAGGAAUGAAAAACUGGCUUCCUACGCUCAAUCAAUUAAUAUAGCCAUCAGCUACUAAUGUGGAUAUAGUUUGGAGCUAUAAUUCUGCUACUCAUCUUGUAGCAUUGCAGGAUAUAUAUGUUUAUAAAUUUAUUUAGAUACUACACUGAGAUGAACCCCAAAGGGCUGUUCCAAAAUUCUGCUAAGCAUAUUUUAUCUAGGGCCACAUCCACACCAUACAUUUCUUCCACUAUUAUUCCACUUUAAAUAGUCAUGGCUUCCCCAAAGAAUCCUGAGAAAUGUGGUUUGUAAAGAGUGAUGAGAGCUGUUAGAAGACCUCUAUUGCACUCACACAGCUACAGUUACCAGAGUUGUCUGAGAAGAGGGACUGGCUGUUAAACCACUCUGGGAAGCCACAACUGUUUAAAGUGUGUGAAUGUGGUCCAAGUCUGAAUCUGUAUUGCAGGGAUGGGGAACCAGUGGCCUUCCAGAUGCUGUCAGACUCCAAUUCCCAUCAGUUCCUGUCAAGGAUUAUGGGAACGGUAUUCCAGCAACAUCUAGAGUGCCACAGGCUAUCCAUCCCUUCUGCUUUGGAUUUGAACUUGUUCAUAUAUAUGACAUUGUUUUUGUUUGUGAAAUUCUUUUACUUUUUUUUCAUGUAUGAA